rnacentral:rRNA from 1 species
UCCUGUUGAUCCUGCAGGAGAUCGCUGCUAUUAGGAUUCGACUAAGCCAUGCAAGUCUUCUCGCAAGAGAGGCGAACUGCUCAGUAACAUGUCGUUAAUCUGCCCUUAAGACGGAAAUACCCUUGGGAAACUGAGGUUAAUGUCCGAUAGGAAAAAAAUUCUGGAAUGAGUUUUUUCUUAAAGUUUCGACACUUAAGGAUGAGACGGCACUCGAUUAGGCAGAUGGCGGUGUAAUGGACCACCAUACCUGAGAUCGAUACGGGUCUUGAAAGAGAUAGCCCGGAGAGGGACACUGAGAUACUGGUCCCAGCCCUACGGGGUGCAGCAGGCGCGAAACCUUUCCAAUGUGCGCAAGCGUGAGAAGGGAAUCCUAAGUGCUUAUGUUUUACAUAGGCUUUUGCCAAAGGUAAAUACUUUGGAGAAUAAGUGGUGGGUAAGACUGGUGCCAGCCGCCGCGGUAACCCCAGCGCCACAAGUGGGGAUCACGUUUAUUCGGUCUAAAGCGUCCGUAGCAGGUUUUGUAAAUUUCUUGUGAAAUUGUUACGCUCAACGUAACAGAUUGCAGGAAAGACUGUAAAACUUGGAACUGGGAGGAGUAUGCAGUAUUUUUGGGGGAGCGGUAAAAUGUUAUAAUCCCAAGAAGACUACCUGUGCCGGAGGGGACAUACUAGAACAGAUUCGACUGUGAGGGACGAAAGCUAGGGGAGCAAAACGGAUUAGAUACCCGUGUAGUCCUAGCCGUAAACACUGCGAGCUAGAUAUGACACAAACUUAGUGUUUCUGUUGUAUCAUAACGAAGGUGCAAGCUCGCCACCUGGGGAGUAUGGUCGCAAGGCUGAAACUCAAAGGAAUUGGCGGGGGAGCACUACAAGGGGUGCGGCGUGCGGUUUAAUUGGAUUCAACGCCGGAAAUCUCACCAGCAGCGACGGCAGGAGGAAGGUCAGUCUAAUGGGCUUACCUGACGAGCCGAGAGGUAUUGCAUGGCCGUCGUCAGCUCGUGCCGUAAGGUGUCCUCUUAAGUGAGGCAACGAGCGAGACCUGCAUCUUUAAUUGAUAACGACACGUUAGUGGAUUGUUCACAUUAAAGAGACUGCCCGGGAAACUGGGAGGAAGGAGCAGGCAACGAUAGGUCCGUAUGGUCCGGAUCUGCUGGGCAACACGCGCGCAACAAUGGUAGGAACAAUGGGAUGCAACUCCGAAAGGAGAAGCUAAGCCUCUAAAUCCUAUCUCAGUACAAAUUGAGGUUUGUAACUCAGCCUCAUGACGUCGGAAUCCCUAGUAAUCGGAAUUUAGCAUAUUCUGGUGAACAUGUCCCUGCUCCUUGCACACACUGCCCGUCAAACCACUCGAGCAGGGUUUAGGUGAAUUUCAAUUCAUCGGAUCGAAAUGAACCUGAGCUCAGUGAGAUGGGUUAAGUCGUCACAAGGUA